GAAGUGCGAUAAGUAGUGUGAAUUGCGGAAUGCCGUGAAUCAUCGAAUCUUUCAACGCACAUUGCGCCCUUGGGUAGGUCCAUUGGGCAUGCCUGUUCGAGCGUCAUUUCCCUUCAAGCUCAAGCACUGCUUGGUGAUGGGCGCUUGUCCCGCCCUGCUGCGCGCGGACUCGCCUCAAAACCAUUGGCGGCCGGCAUCCGUUUUUCGCACGCAGUAUACCGCGCGCGUAGAAUUAGGAAGCCCGGCGUCUACAAAAAGGACCCCCAAGAUUGACCUCGGAUCAGGUAGGGAUACCCGCUGAACUUAA
rnacentral:misc_RNA from 1 species